UAGAUACCAAGAUUGUGUCUCAGAAAACAAAUCCUGGUUGCUGGGAUUAAAGUGUAAUCAUCCUUCAACUCUACUGCAAGAAAAAUAGUUCGGAGAUUUUUGGAGUGUGUGCUUAUACUUCACAGUUCUUACUCUUCACACACACAAAUAUGUUUUCACAUGCCUGUCCAGAAGGAAAAGCACUUCAGGCAGAAACAUUGUUUAGACAAAGAAAAUUAUAAAGAAGAGCUCCCUCUAAUAUGGAAUUUAGAAACUUGAAGAAAAGUG
rnacentral:lncRNA from 1 species